UUUCGUAUUCAUAUGUACGUCAGGAAAGUUGGAUCAUCAUUAACUGGAGGAAAGUGACAGACGCAAUAAAUCAUGCAGGAACUACAGGCAAAACACAAUCGUAAUAUUUAAACGAUUUUUUCACGCCUCCUUACCUAAUGCAAGGCUUGCUUACGAACAAAGAGGAAAGGUUAAAUUUCUGAAUAGCAAAAAAUCGGACAUAGGAUGUUUCUAUACAGAGUAACCGUUGCAGUUUUUUGUUUCCAUCUGACUCUAUCGGCACCCACCAGCACAGCUUCACCAAAAGUUCUCCCUGACCCGGUCGUCAAGGAAACGUACAUCCCUCUCACUGAUGACUGGUGCUCGAAAAAUUUUCAUUUUUUUGUGAAAAGGUGCAAGGAAACCCCAACGGAAUGCUGUGACACUGUGGUGGACUAUCGCUAUGUUCAGACAGGAAACCCAUGCACUGGUCCCAACACGGACUGUGACAUCGGCAACUAUGGAGUUUUUAUCACCUGUUGUAAAAACGGGAUUGAAAUGAAACCCGUAUAUUAGCCUUCAGAUUUAGUCUUCAGAAAGACUUUUUAAUGAAUUCCAUCCUUUAUGGUAAUGUAUUAUACUACAGAUGAAAGCACUCAAUGUGAUUAGAUGUAUUUUAAUCUUAAACUAUUCAUCUUGUUGUUAGGUCAUAUUCUGAUUUAAUAGUUUUAUUUUCAUCUUACUGUGGAGCCAAGUUCAAAUAAAACAUUCAAAUGUAUAAAAUUAUUGAAUUUGAA